rnacentral:misc_RNA from 1 species
GAAUAAUUAAACUGGUUUUCAUUGACAUUGCCUCUAUAAUUUAUUCAAGAUGUAAGUUUGAGCAGAUUUUCCAAACAUGAUUAAUGGAAAUACUAUUAACCAGAAAUCAUUUCAAUUUCUGAUAAUAGAAACAAAUGACAAUUGAGCAGAACAAAAUUAUAUACCUUUACACAAUCACAUGUAUAGGCGAACACUGGCAAAGGCAUAAA